rnacentral:lncRNA from 10 species
GUGAUUUCUUAGGACUUUAAUAGUAUAGCUGAUGUUAGGUCAUUAAUGAGGGCAGAUUUAAAAUGGAAGCCUGAGAAUGUGAUUUUAAGUGUAUUUUUUCUCCUCUAUAUAAGAGUUGUAAAAUGGAAAUCUAUCAAUUACCUGCUUAAGAAUCUCUCGUAGCUUCCUUUUGCCUAGCAUAUAAAAUCUGAACUGAAUCUUUUAUUCAAUAACUGACAUCAAUGUUUUCUUCUUUUCUCAUUCUUCUUAAUACUUUUUCAGCUCAAGUCAGACUAUUUUCAAGUCUGGAUUUUUUUUUCAGCCCUACCUUUGUAUUGUCAUCCAUAUUGUCUGUCUGCCUGAACCUCUUUAUUUUUCUAUCAACCCCUAUUUUUCUCCAUCUUAAAGCUCUAAUUCGUAGCCCUGCUCUAGGAGGCCCUCCAUGAUUGAUACUAACUGUGGCUGUUGUUUGGUUCUUGGCUUGGUUGGUUUUUAUUACUCUGGGCCCCCUCUUCUAGCUCUUUUAUUAAUACCUCAGAGAAUAGUUUGCAAAAACUAUGGCAACUUUACUAAUAUUUAGCUUUCAUCAUGGACUUAAUGGCAAAUGAGUGACAAACUUGUCUCCCUUGACAGUAGGCAUGAUUUCUGCUGCCUAUUGAAUUUCAAUGCUAUUGUGUUCUAUUUAAAAUUACUAAAACUCUCAUUUAUCUAUGAAGCCCUUAGCCCCACAGAUCUGCCUCAUGUGCUCAGUUUGUCUGUUUUAUAGUGUCUGUGCUCCUCAGGAGUCUAGAUAUUUUGGCCUGUGAAAACUUUCUCCCCUAGGGGUUUUGAUGACACCAUUUUAUGGUGAGGUGUCUCCUCUGGUAAGUUCUGAAUAUGGUGACACAUACAUUUAUUAAAUUAAUUUUUAAAAUUAGAAAUACAUAAACAUGUUAAAAAUCUCAACUGUUGUAUAGUGAAAUGCAAUCUUCCUUCCUCUUCUUCCUCCAGUCUCCUAGUUUCCCCGUCCAGAAGCAGUUACAGUUGUGUGCCACCUUCUAGAAAAAUUCACUGCAUAUACAAGAGAGGGGGAGAAAGCUAUGGAUUUUACUGGUUCACUUAAUAUAUUUGGAGCUUGUGUCCUAUCACUCAUAUUUUUAAGGACAUAUAGGAUUCCACUUUUUGAAUGUACCUUAAUUUCUUUAACCAGUUCUGUACUGAUGGGCAUUUAUCAUAUUAUCACUUUUCAUUCUUAUAAGCAGUACGUAUACAGUUUUGAAAAUGUAGAUGAUAUCUGUUGCAUAGACUACUAAAAAUAAAGUUGCUCAGCCAAAGGGAAGCACAUUUUAAAUUUUUAUGAAUUUGGGUAAAUUUCCCUUCAAUGAAGUUGCAUCAAUUUCCAUUCCCACCAAGAAUAUGUGACAGCUGUAUCUGGCAAACAUAUGUAUUUCCCUGGAACUUUGAUCUAUUUGAAAGAAGACUAGGAACACAUUUACAGUACUGUUACCAACAUCUUCUUCACUUUUGAUUUUUCUGUAAUUCUCCCUGCCAAAAUUUAACAGAACGCUGUCAUUUUCCUGACUCAUCGUCCUUUUAUUUCCACUUUGUAAAAAUGUCUGUGUUUGGUUUUAUGUUUUUAGGGGUGGCAUAGAAUCUUCCACCAGAACCCUGGAAGUGUAGGUCAGGAUGUUAGAAAUUCUUCUAAUAAAUAGUGUCCAGGAAACACUUCAUUAGAGUAAUUCUCUGGCACAGGGAGUCCUGGGUGGUGGCUCUUGUGACAAGCCCCUUUACCUAUGGUAUGUUGGAAAUUUAACCACAACCUUAGGGCAUGCAAUGAUUGUCUUUCCUUUAGGUGUUUAACUCAUAUAAUGUCUUAAAGAUAAAUGGCACCAGUAAUAUUUUAACAAUGUUCGGGUAUCCUUUGUUUCCAUAGUUACCUGGGUUUCUGUUAGCUUAAGACUUUAGAUGUGUAGCUUCAAACUCUGGGUUCUUCUUCAACUAGGUCAAGAGUUCACACAUUUUUCCACCCACUGGGCAGGCAAACCAAGUUGUAAUUGUUGCUUAUGAAGAGGAUCCUCAAAUGGUACAACACUCAAUUAGGUUAGAUUAAAUUCAGAGCAAUAAAAUAUUUCUGAGUAUGUUCUCAGAGAAACCCACAUCUUAGUUUUCCUUAUCUGAGAUCAUCUUUACCAGUUAAGAGGGCACACUUCAAAUAAUACAAACAUUCUUUAUAAAUUCAUUAUUUCCUAAAUCCCUUCCUAGUUUCAGUUUUGAUGAGCUCUUUUCAUAACUCUAGGUACUUUAGAUAUGCUUCUCUCAGCCUCGAUUUGGCUUUUAGGCUAAAGGGUUUUCCUAAUCACAGCAAGUGGGUCAAAAAUUAGGAUAGGCUUCCCAUGAAAGACUAAGUACAAUAAUUGAACAAAAGGGGUGAAAGUUGAUUAAAGUGAUGCGAGGAGUAAAUGGAUUCACUUUUACAGGAUCUUCUGAAAUCUGAGAUAAAGGACUGACUCCUUGGCUAAUCUCAGUGCAAUUACCUACUCAUGGAGAUCAAUACUUUUUUACUAUUAAAAAAUAGUGAAAAUUUUUAAGAUUGGUUAAGGAAGAGUAAUGUGUUAUUAGGGGAGGCAAGGAAAACUUAGAUCUAAUUUAGAUUUCUAUGAAAACAGUGGGCAUCAAUAGGAGAACAUAAAAAAGAGACGUGAGUAUUAGGAAAAUACCAAAAGGUUUGGUUAGAAACAAAUCCUCUUGUGAUAGGAGAUAAGACUGAAGACCAAACAGAAAUUAUAACUGCAUAGAUCUUGGUUUUAUUCAUUCAUUUGCUCAUUCAGCCUGUUCACUGGCUCCAACAUAGCUCUUGAUUCUAUCCCAUGUGACAUAUUCAUUGACCAACCAUGUGUUUUGGACAGAUCAGCAGCUAGAGAUCCAAAAACGACUGGUUAGAUGGAAUGUCUUAGGAAAUAGUGUCAUCAGUGGUGUACAAAAUGGUAUUAAACUUUCCCUGGAUGAUGGAUUAAAGAGAGAACAAAUUAAAGGCAUAGAUAUAGCCAUCUGCUAAUCAGGGUUUCACAAGGCAUCUGUACCUUAGGCCAUUCCUUUUGGGAUUUCCACUUGCAAAAAAUAUAGUGAAAUAAAACUUAAACUGAAUAGAAGAAAGAAUUUCUUAGACUCAUUCACAUUCAAUCAAUGUUUACUGAGUGCCUAAUAUGUGCCAAAUAUUAUACUAAAAUGCCGAGGAUACAGCAGAGGGACAAAAAUUCCCUGCAUUUGUGGUGCUUACAUUUUACUGAUACAGUUAAUGAAGAUCAUAAAAAUUUUAAACACUGGAGCAGUGAAGUGAGAUUAGGAAUCCCUGUGCCUUUAAAGAUUGAGAGACUAUCAUUUCCUUGGAAAGAAUUAUGUAUUAUCUUGCAUGUAUGUGUGAAGGCAAAUGAGUAAAGGAAAUGCUUCUUCAGCAACCUCUUUCAAUUCUCUAAAGUUAUUUUCAUUACCUAAAUAUUAAAGAGUGAGAAGGACUUGAGGGGAAAAAAAAUAAAGCUUUUUUUUUGUUGUUUUUUUGAGACAGGGUCUCACACUGUCACCAAGGCUGGAGUGCAGUGGUGCAAUCUCAGCUCACUGCAGCCUUGAUGUCCUGGGCUCAAUCAAUCCUCCCUCCUCAGCCUCCAGAGUAGCUGGGACCACAGGCAUGCGCCACCGUGCCUAGUUAAUUAUAAAACUUUUUUUAGAGAUGGAGUUUUGCUGUGUUUCCUAGGCUGGUCUCAAAUUCCUGUGCUCAAGUGAUAUGCCCACCUCAGGCUCCCAAAGUGCUGGGAUGACAGGCGCGAGCCACUGCACCUGGCCAAAAUAAAGCUUGACCUGAGUUGAUAUGAGGGUGAUGAGACUGAGUAAAAAGCCCAUAGGAUUCCAGCCUGUGUUCAUGUAAGUAUUCAGAACAAGAUAAUCUCUGCUACUCUCUACACUACUUUGAUUUAGGAGUGACUGUACUUGGCUUUAACAACCUCACUUAGGAGAGAUAUUGAGAAAGCCAAAUAUGACAACAUGUGGCUAUUCAGCAUAAUGCAGAAUCUGAAAAACACAAUACGUGAAAAUUGAUUCAACAAACUGGAGGAGAUUACGUGUUUGUUCUGAGGCUAUGUAAGCUUGAGUCAUGGUUCUGCUCUUUGCCCUCCGUGCAACCUUGGAAUAUUUUUACUUUAUUUCUUUGUUCUGUUUCCUCACAUAUGAAACAAAGAUAAUAACAUUGCCUACUAUAUCAAUUAGUAUAAUUAUAGCUUCAGGUAAUGGAAAAGCCAGGUAAUUUGGCUCAGUUCACAAAGACGUCACUUGUUUACUUAAUGAGAAAUCUAGAAGUACAUGGCUUAGGGUUAGUCUGGUGGUUCCACAAUGUGAGGAUUCUAGGUUCUCUAUGAUUUUCCCGACUUUACCUCCACUGUUGAAAAUGGCAGUGGUGGCUCCAGAAAUCUCAUUUUCAUAAUUUCAAGUCCAAAAUCUGGAAGAAGUGAGACCAGGUGGGGGUGUAAGACAGAGAGAAAACCCUCCAAACAUGUCUCUCUUCUUUUCAAAGGAAGAAAAAAUGUUUCCAAGAAUCCCUCUAGCAGAUGUUCUUCUAUGCCUUCGUAGCCAAAAUGGAAUUCCAAGGCCACUUCUAGCUGUAAGAGAGGCUGGGAAACAAAGUAUUUGGUUUGAUAUCCUCUUUAGCUGGAGAACAGGCAAGAAAGAUGGCACUAACAAAGCUGAACACACCGGCAUUGCAAAGGCUGUCUACCAAUUGCUUAAGUCCGAUGAGAUAGAAUACAUGUACAAGUAGGACAAAGUAGAUUAUUAUUUUAUCACAGAUUUAUUAUAGGCAGCAAGGAUAAACAGAAGCCUAGAAACCAGAGCAAGCCAGCUUCCUAAGGCUCAGGAAAGCUGCCCAGGGUGGAUGGAGUUCCGUGUGUGCAUGUCCCAUGUUGCACCACAACUGAGGGACCCUGAAAAGCAUGCUGCCCUGGGUUUAUAUAACCUGGGUGACAUUUGGCACGCUAAGCUCAAGCAUUGCAGAACAUCCUGUUCUAGGAGAAACGAGGACACAGUUUGGGUUGUUCUGGGCAUUUCCUCCUUAUCUCAGGAUGUUGAAUUCUCGGUACAUUCUGCCUGAGAAUUACAUGCAAGAGAGGGAAGAUCUGGGUCAGCCAACAUGAUCUGUCAUCUGGAGACCUGCCCUCUUGUACAUCUCAGAAUAUUACUGUAAAUAUUAAGUGGGAAGAAACGUGAAAUAAUUUCCAUGGCAUGUAAACAUUCAAAAAUGAUAACAAUUAUUUGUCAUCUUUAUUUGCACAGAAGAAGAAGCAUUUUAAUGGAGAGACUUUUUGUGAUGCGUGUACAGAGGACAUUAUUAGUGAAAUAACAGCAAACUUGCUAUUAAUGAGAUCUGCUCAAAAUCUCUAUGAGGUAGUGAAUGCCCCAUCAUGAAGAUUUUCAUGCAGAAUUGGGAUGACCUCUGUUCUUCAGGUAGGAACUUGGAUUAGAUAUGUCUAGGAUUUCUUCCAGUUGAAGUUCCUGUGAUUCUACAAUAGGGUAGUCUGAGGAUCAAGAUACAAAUUUCUUCUCUUAUCUUAAAAUGGACUUAAUUUGCGUUUAGAUAAAUUGCAAUGUUCUGGCUAGAUCCAAAUUUCUAAAAUGAGGAAUAUUAAAAGUCUAACCAUUACAACUCUACUGGCCAGUGUGAUUCAUGCAUCAUUUUCAGAGAAGAGAAUAGCUGCUUAGAUACUGAAAGGUACAAAAUGAUAGUAUUUUCUCUUGUUUAGAGGUACAGAAUCCACUUUAUUUUUAGAUCUUGACAUUCUAAAUACUUAUAUCUCUUCAAGAUAAAAAAAGAACAUUGUUUAUUUUAGUCAGUAUCUUUCCCUUUCUCAUUUGUUUAUACAUUCUUAAAAUAACCAUAUAGUUCUCAUUUAUCAAACUUCCCUAUUGCAUGUACAUUCUUUCUUCCUUCGUUAGGAUUUGGUAAGAGUGCUAUGAAUGUGUUAGAAUGGUGUAAAUGAUACUUGCUGUGUAUGAUUUUUUCCCCCUCCCCAAGCCUGCCAGGGGAGCGAGGUGUUAAAUCUCAUGAGAUUCUUUUACCAAGUCCAAGUUUUAAAUAAAUGAAACUUGUACAGACUCCAACAUACCAUCUUGAGAUAACCUCAGGCCCUGAAGUGUAUCGACAAGCAGAAUGAUCUCAGCCAAGUUGUAAAACUGUCUUUGAAAAGAAUAGCUGGAUGAAAAACAUUAGCAGCAACUGAAUCAAGAGAAAACGUGACUUCAAACUGAAAGGCACUCUCAUGGAUUUCAGAUGCUUUUAGAAUCAAACCUGGAAAGGAUACAAAAAGCAGAAGCAAAACCAACAUUUGGGAGAAGAACAGAUUAAGACAGUAGCUUAUAUUGAAACAUCACUUCUCAUUUGCUGUUUGGACAAUGGUGAUGGAACUGCUGCUUUAUUGCCCACGGAGAAGCGAAGUGAAGAGUCUAAAGUGGGUCUUGCAGUUACACUGGACAAAAGAAGUUUGAAACUGAGGCUUGGUCCUGAAGAAAACAUAGAGAAGCCUGACAGAUUAUAUAUAUUCACAGCUUUGACUUAAAGGUUGCUGGUUGACCAAUAAGUAAUACAAGAAGAAAUGGUCUUUUCUGGAAUUGUCCUUCUUUCCAGGUAUCAAUGGUGAGCAGAAGAGGAGCAGGGAAUGAUGAAAGACCACACAUUCUCCAAAAGUCACUAAGCACUGUCUGCAGAUGGAACAUUCAUAUUUUCACAUAGUAUAAGUCAUAUGAUCUUUGAUCCUCCAUGUAUUGCUAUCCAGCCAUUUACUUUAGAAUGUCAGCCUUUAUACUGAUAUCACACACAUGUUGUAAAAUGUAGUGAAGAUAAACGGGUGAAGUUAAACUUACAAUGCUUUUGCUGUUAUCCAUAAAAAUGCAAUAGGUAUUGCAUAGAAUUAGUUACAAGCACAAAACUGUGAUACCCUAUAUGCCCCUGUUACAAGAAAGUUGUCAUUUUACAUUAUGGGUAUUUAUUCGAUAUUUUCAUAGUUUAAUUACUAACAAAGCAUUAAUAAUGCCAGAUUGUGCUGACAAACAUUGCAGUCUCUGAAUAGGAGAAAGAAUAUAUUCUUUGCACCAUUAUACAAUGAUUUAGAACUUUAAUAGUGUGCUGGGGAAAAAACAUGUAUCUGUAACCUGAAAUAGUUGUUUUACCUCCCUGAGUACAAAAUAUGUCACACAUUCUCUCCUAAAUGUAUUCUCUAUUUUUACCAGUCAUUUUGUUGCUAAAAUGUAAGAUAUGGGGAUGGGAUGUGGGUGAUUGUCUCCGUCCUUUUGGGCUUCUAUAACUAAAAUACCUUAGACUGGGUAAUUUAUAAACAACAGGAAUUUAUUUCUCACAGUUCUGGGGGCUGGAAAGUCCAAGAUCAAGGCUGUGGUGGGGUUUGGCUGGCGAGGGCUCCAUCCUUCUUGCUAUAUCUUCACAUGGUGGAAGGAGCAAACAAACUCCCCCAGCCCUCUUUUACAAGGGCACUAAUAUUAUUUGUGAGGGCUCCACUCUCAUGACUUAAUCACCUCCCCAAAGACCCUACUUCUUAAUACUAACACAUUGGGGAUUAAUCUUCAACAUAUGAAUUUUGGAGGAACACAAACAUUCAGACCAUAGCAAUGUUUAUUGGGGUGAAUGCUCAUUUAACUUUUCCCAGAACAAUCCCUGUUAAGUCUGCUAACCUCCUGUAGUUAAUGAUAAAAUUUCCUUCAUUUUCCGAAGUGUUCUUGUUUGGAUUAUAAAUUAUGUAAUUACCCUAAUGACAAUUAACUAGACAUUUUUUUUCUUACUGUAUAGCACCAGUAUGGGCAAUUGCAGUGGCUUUCAAACUUGACUACAACUCAGGGAGAAAUACAUUUUUCAUCAUAACGUAGUACACACACACACACACACACACACACACACACACGCACACACACACACACAUACACUAGAUAAAGCAAAAGCUUUAGGAAAUGGUACUUGGAUAUUUUCAAAUAUAUUUUAGUCUGUUUUUUAAUUAAAAAUCUCUAGUCAUGAUACAUUAAAUUGACUUAUUGACCCACAGCUUGAAAAAACACCAAUAUUUUGGAUGUGUUUUAAGGUCAUAGAACACGCCUUCUGAUUUUUUUCCUUCCCUAGGUAAUCCUAUGCAAGUUGCCAAUCUUCUCUAAACAACACUCUUCUUCAUCUAUAAAGUAAAUAUUAAUACCUACCUGAAGGUGGCAGAGAGAGUUAACUGAGAUAAUUUGGUUAAUGAGCCUGAAAUCUAGUCAACACUUACUAAAGGUAAUUUCUUCUCCUCUCUUCCGCUUCUAAACCAACAGGACACAGCUGAAGUUCACAGGUUUGUAAAAGUGAAAAAAUAUUUUUCUUAACCCCCUGACCUCUAAAGUUUGGUCAGAGUGUUUAGCCACUGAUAAAACAUCUUUAAGCACUGUUACUUCUAUGUUCAACUAAAAGAGUCACUUUUCAGUAAUUUCCGGUCAAGCCCAUCACAAUAGCACUUGCAGCUUCUCAAAAGAAAAGAAAGAAAGAGAGAGAAAGAAAGGAAGAAAGAGAAUUGAAGGAGGAAAGAAGGAAAAAAAUCAUGAUGAAGAUUUUAAAACAUGUCUUAUUGAGGGAUGGGAUGGUGAGGAAGUUGAUUAUAGUGAUGGAUGUGACAGACAGGGCCCGUACUUCUGUUUCUGUUCUCAAACUAACAGUUUUCACACAUAACCGUUUUCACACAUAACACAUUAGUAGAAUUUCUUUUGAAUAUUUGCCUUGGAAAUAAAACAAUAAUAAUAUAGCAUUUAUUAUAUUUAUUAUAUAUAGAGUGUGUGUGUGUGUGUGUCUGUGUGUGUGUGUAUCCCACAUGUCCACAUGAGAAAUAAUGAAAGAAGAUGGAGCCCAAGUAAGAGAGUCCUGAUGCCCCAUAAUGCAGAGAGACAAAGAAGUGAUGAAAUCAAGUACUCUACCUCUGGGCCGCCAGAAUCCAGGCCUGGUUCCAGAGUCCUCUGGUUUUCACCGUGUUGGGGUGGGGCCUCCCCGGGUGCACAGCUUUUCUGCACUGGUUGGCAUCUACUGAACCUUAGGUGAUCACAGCAGUGGUAAAGACAAGCCAGCUUCCGUCUUUCCAUAGUUUGUUCCCCUGUACUUCAGGAGGGAGGGGAGCCCCUCUAUGGAAUGCAAUACACACUAGGCAUCCUAUCACUAUGUAAGAACUCAUCUUGCUCCCUCAUUUCACAUUACAUCUUUGACUGUCUUGCUCAGUUGUUUCACCUUGGCUAGUUUUUACUCUUUGGCGAGUACUCUCACAACUCUCUUGUAGGCAGGAGCCCAUUUUCUUUUUCUGAGUACUCUGGACUCCUUGCAUGGUGCUUCCUGGGCAAGGGGUGCUCAACAAAUUGUGCUGAUAAUUAAGUCAUUCACUCAAAAUAUAUUUAUUAAGCACCUAGUGACCAAGACAGAAAAAAGUUACUAUUGACCUUCAAAUCACCAAAUCUAAUGAUCAUUCCUUACUGCUCAUCUUCCUCCACCAUUGCUACCUUAGAGGCCUCCCGUGCCUGCCUCCAUUUCCCAGACUUACUGCUUGAUUCUCCCUGGCAAGCUUUCCCUUCACCAUUUUUUUUUCAGCACUUGUAAGGAACUGAAUCUGUCCCCAAUAGUACACAGUUUGAGUUAGAGCCAGGACUAGAACUCAGGCCUGCAUAUAAUCAAAGAUCAGAAAACGGCCAAAUCUUGGUGUUUCUAUUCACAGGGAGGAAACCCAGAUGGGCCUACUCACAAUACAUGCUUCCAAAUGAAAGAACGUUUUUCCCCCUAAGGACAUUGUUAGGACACUGUCUAGCUAGAAGAUAUUCAGAGAAAAUUCACUCCUUUACCUGCCCUAGGGAAAUGGGAAAAUUCAAUGUUUGAGCCAUUUACCCAAAAGAGUAAUCCAUGCUGGAAAUUUUGCUGAAAGUAUUCUUUUAAAAGGCCCUUCUGUCUUUAUUAUGACGAUAAGACUGCUGAGUCUGCCCAAGCAUAUGAGGUUGCAAAGAAUAUUUCUUUUUAUUCAGACCUUGUAUUCUCUACAUGAUGAAAGGAUUCUUGGCACAUAGUUGGCAAUUACUAUCUAGGUUUUCUGCAUAACAUAGGUUUUUUAAACUAAGCUUUUAACUCAAUAGACAUCAGGCUCCAAUGAAAAUACAUGUGGCCUAACACGAGCAGAAAUAAACACAAUUCUAAUCAACUUAACUGUUGACAAAAGCAUGUGGUUUCAUUGCUUGCGGCCAAAGUUGUAAGAGUGGACUCUGAUUUCUUGCAGGAACACCCCUCAUUUAUGUGUGCAAAUAGGGUAAUUAAGUGUCCAAUUACCAGAUUUGCAUUGGCAAAUGGGGGCUUUGUGUGGGUAAAAUUCUCCAUGGUUUGGGACCAGCUGAAACUUAGGUCUUUUCUUUUUGGAUCAAUCCCCCAACAAUAACACGGGCAUGAUGAAGUUCCCUUCUUGUCCUGAUCUGAAGCCAUGGCUGAAGACUUCCCUUAUUUUGGUAAUUCAGUGAAGCGGAGAGCCAAAGUUAGGAUCUGGGGCCUUUUCUUCCUUACUGUCUACUCUGAAAAAUAAUUAAGCAUUUCAAGUAUUUUCAGACUGACUUUUUUUUUUUCCUGCUGGCUCUGUAGAAUUGAUUACUAAGGUGAAAUACUUGUAAAUAUUCCUUUUAAAAAUUUAACCAUAUGGAAGCAUUAAGUUGAAAGACACUUCAUAAAACAACUUUAUUCUUUUCU